UACGGAGGGUGCGAGCGUUGUCCGGAUUUAUUGGGUUUAAAGGGUGCGUAGGUGGCUUGAUAAGUCAGUGGUGAAAUACAGCCGCUCAACGGUUGAGGUGCCAUUGAUACUGUCAAGCUUGAAGGAAUUGGAGGCUGCCGGAAUGGAUGGUGUAGCGGUGAAAUGCAUAGAUAUCAUCCAGAACACCGAUUGCGAAGGCAGGUGGCUACGAUUGAUUUGACACUGAGGCACGAAAGCAUGGGGAGCAAACAGG
rnacentral:rRNA from 1 species